GGCGGCAGGCCUAACACAUGCAAGUCGAACGGUAACAGGAUGUGCUUGCACAUCGCUGACGAGUGGCGGACGGGUGAGUAAUGCUUGGGAACUUGCCUUUGCGAGGGGGAUAACAGUUGGAAACGACUGCUAAUACCGCAUAAUGUCUUCGGACCAAACGGGGCUUCGGCUCCGGCGCAAAGAGAGGCCCAAGUGAGAUUAGCUAGUUGGUAAGGUAACGGCUUACCAAGGCGACGAUCUCUAGCUGUUCUGAGAGGAAGAUCAGCCACACUGGGACUGAGACACGGCCCAGACUCCUACGGGAGGCAGCAGUGGGGAAUAUUGCACAAUGGGGGAAACCCUGAUGCAGCCAUGCCGCGUGUGUGAAGAAGGCCUUCGGGUUGUAAAGCACUUUCCGUUGUGAGG
rnacentral:rRNA from 1 species